rnacentral:rRNA from 1 species
AUUGAACGCUGGCGGCAUGCCUUACACAUGCAAGUCGAACGGCAGCACGGGGCAACCUGGUGGCGAGUGGCGAACGGGUGAGUAAUGCAUCGGAACGUACCUUUCAGUGGGGGAUAACGUAGCGAAAGUUACGCUAAUACCGCAUAUUCUGUGAGCAGGAAAGCAGGGGAUCGCAAGACCUUGCGCUGAUUGAGCGGCCGAUGUCAGAUUAGCGAGUUGGUGAGGUAAAGGCUCACCAAGGCGACGAUCUGUAGCGGGUCUGAGAGGAUGAUCCGCCACACUGGAACUGAGACACGGUCCAGACUCCUACGGGAGGCAGCAGUGGGGAAUUUUGGACAAUGGGGGCAACCCUGAUCCAGCCAUGCCGCGUGAGUGAAGAAGGCCUUCGGGUUGUAAAGCUCUUUCGGCCGGGAAGAAAUCGCACGGGUUAAUACCCUGUGUGGAUGACGGUACCGGAAUAAGAAGCACCGGCUAACUACGUGCCAGCCGCCGCGGUAACAC